rnacentral:rRNA from 1 species
GAUAAACGCUGGCGGCGUGCUUAACACAUGCAAGUCGAACGAAGUUUUUCCUUCGGGAGCAACUUAGUGGCGGACGGGUGAGUAACGCGUGGGUAACCUGCCCUGUACAGGGGGACAACAGCUGGAAACGGCUGCUAAUACCGCAUAAGCCCUUAGCACUGCAUGGUGCAUAGGGAAAAGGAGCAAUCCGGUACAGGAUGGACCCGCGUCUGAUUAGCCAGUUGGCAGGGUAACGGCCUACCAAAGCGACGAUCAGUAGCCGAUCUGAGAGGAUGUACGGCCACAUUGGGACUGAGACACGGCCCAGACUCCCACGGGAGGCAGCAGUGGGGAAUAUUGCACAAUGGAGGAAACUCUGAUGCAGCGACGCCGCGUGAGUGAAGAAGUAUUUCGGUAUGUAAAGCUCUAUCAGCAGGGAAGAAAAUGACGGUACCUGACGAAGAAGCACCGGCUAAAUACGUG